GAACGAGAAAGUGGAGCAAUCCAUGAGUAAAGUGGCGACCGGNGUGAGUAACACGUGACUAACCUACCUCCGAGUGGGGAAUAACUCCGGGAAACCGGGGCUAAUACCGCAUAACAUCGAAAGAUCAAAGCAGCAAUGCGCUUGGAGAGGGGGUCGCGGCUGAUUAGCUAGUUGGCGGGGUAACGGCCCACCAAGGCGAAGAUCGGUAUCCGGCCUGAGAGGGCGCACGGACACACUGGAACUGAAACACGGUCCAGACUCCUACGGGAGGCAGCAGUGGGGAAUUUUGCGCAAUGGGGGAAACCCUGACGCAGCAACGCCGCGUGGAGGAUGAAGCCCUUUGGGGCGUAAACUCCUUUCGACUCGGACGAUAAUGACGGUACGAGUGGAAGAAGCACCGGCUAACUCUGUG
rnacentral:rRNA from 1 species